rnacentral:piRNA from 1 species
UCCUAGACAUCUAAGAACGGAGAGUUGGU